rnacentral:rRNA from 1 species
CGAACGCUGGCGGCGUGCUUUACACAUGCAAGUCGAACGAUGAUACCCAGCUUGCUGGGUUGAUUAGUGGCGAACGGGUGAGUAACACGUGAGUAACCUGCCCCUGACUUCGGGAUAAGCGCUGGAAACGGCGUCUAAUACCGGAUAUGAGCUGUCCUCGCAUGGGGAUGGUUGGAAAGUUUUUCGGUUGGGGAUGGGCUCGCGGCCUAUCAGCUUGUUGGUGGGGUGAUGGCCUACCAAGGCGACGACGGGUAGCCGGCCUGAGAGGGCGACCGGCCACACUGGGACUGAGACACGGCCCAGACUCCUACGGGAGGCAGCAGUGGGGAAUAUUGCACAAUGGGCGAAAGCCUGAUGCAGCGACGCCGCGUGAGGGAUGACGGCCUUCGGGUUGUAAACCUCUUUCAGUAGGGAAGAAGCGAAAGUGACGGUACCUGCAGAAGAAGCGCCGGCUAACUACGUGCCAGCAGCCGCGGUAAUACGUAGGGCGCAAGCGUUGUCCGGAAUUAUUGGGCGUAAAGAGCUCGUAGGCGGUUUGUCGCGUCUGGUGUGAAAACUCGAGGCUCAACCUCGAGCUUGCAUCGGGUACGGGCAGACUAGAGUGUGGUAGGGGUGACUGGAAUUCCUGGUGUAGCGGUGGAAUGCGCAGAUAUCAGGAGGAACACCGAUGGCGAAGGCAGGUCACUGGGCCACUACUGACGCUGAGGAGCGAAAGCAUGGGGAGCGAACAGGAUUAGAUACCCUGGUAGUCCAUGCCGUAAACGUUGGGCACUAGGUGUGGGGCUCAUUCCACGAGUUCCGUGCCGCAGCUAACGCAUU